rnacentral:rRNA from 1 species
GAUGAACGCUGGCGGCGUGCCUAAUACAUGCAAGUCGAGCGAACAGAUGAGGAGCUUGCUCCUCUGACGUUAGCGGCGGACGGGUGAGUAACACGUGGAUAACCUACCUAUAAGACUGGGAUAACUUCGGGAAACCGGAGCUAAUACCGGAUAAUAUAUUGAACCGCAUGGUUCAAUAGUGAAAGACGGUUUUGCUGUCACUUAUAGAUGGAUCCGCGCCGCAUUAGCUAGUUGGUAAGGUAACGGCUUACCAAGGCGACGAUGCGUAGCCGACCUGAGAGGGUGGACGGCCACACUGGAACUGAGAAACGGUACAGACUCCUACGGGAGGCAGCAGUAGGGAAUCUUACGCAAGGGGCGAAAGCCUGACGGAGCAAAGCCGCGUGAGUGAUGAAGGUCUUCGGAUCGUAAAACUCUGUUAGUAGGGAAGAACAAAUGUGUAAGUAACUAUGAACGUCUUGACGGUACCUAAUCAGAAAGCCACGGCUAACUACGUG